AUCCCACAAUCUUCUCAGGCUGAAAUCAGGCCAGAGGGGUCCAGGUGGAAAUUAAAUAUCAUGUACUCAACAUCCGAUACACGAAGUUUCUAGAUUUUAAAAUAAGAACAAACUUGCCACAGUGCUGUGACACCAGGCCAGAAGUACAGCUGGGAGCCAAAGAAGAGUUCUGAGGGAGACUGAUCAGACCAGGGUCUUCGCCUGAAGUGACGUUUUGCAAAUGGCCUUGUGGCUUCUUUGUGUCCUUCCUGGGAGCCGGGAUGGCCUCCAAAUAGCUCUUUGACACAUCAGCGAACCCAGCGAACGCCGUGGUGUUCUCUGCAUGAGGUGGCACCGUAUCUGGGGCUCGGCUAAAUGCAUCCCCCGAAGGACCGCCUUGUAGCUCGCUGGCCUCACUGAAGAAUUUCACAACAGUCCUGGGAAUCAGAAGGUCGUGG